rnacentral:rRNA from 1 species
CCUACGGGGUGCAGCAGUGAGGAAUAUUGGUCAAUGGGCGCUAGCCUGAACCAGCCAAGUAGCGUGAAGGAUGACUGCCCUAUGGGUUGUAAACUUCUUUUAUAUGGGAAUAAAGUGCAGUGUGUAUACUGCUUUGCAUGUACCUUAUGAAUAAGGAUCGGCUAACUCCGUGCCAGCAGCCGCGGUAAUACGGAGGAUCCGAGCGUUAUCCGGAUUUAUUGGGUUGAAAGGGAGCGUACGCGGGUUGUGAAGUCAGUUGUGAAAGUUUGCGGCUCAACCGUAAAAUUGCAGUUGAUACUGGUAUCCUAGAGUACAGUAGAGGUAGGCGGAAUUCGUGGUGUAGCGGUGGAAUGCUUAGAUAUCACGAAGAACAUCGAUUGCGAAGGCAGCCUGCUGGACUGUAACUGACGCUGAUGCUCGAAAGUGUGGGGAGCAAACAGGAUUAGAUACCCUUGUAGUC